rnacentral:rRNA from 1 species
GAUGAACGCUGGCGGCGUGCUUAACACAUGCAAGUCGAGCGAAGCACUUUUGCAGACUUCUUCGGAUUGAAGCAAUUGUGACUGAGCGGCGGACGGGUGAGUAACGCGUGGGUAACCUGCCUCAUACAGGGGGAUAACAGUUGGAAACGGCUGCUAAUACCGCAUAAGCGCACAGUACCGCAUGGUACCGUGUGAAAAACUCCGGUGGUAUGAGAUGGACCCGCGUCUGAUUAGCUAGUUGGUGGGGUAACGGCCUACCAAGGCGACGAUCAGUAGCCGACCUGAGAGGGUGACCGGCCACAUUGGGACUGAGACACGGCCCAAACUCCUACGGGAGGCAGCAGUGGGGAAUAUUGCACAAUGGGGGAAACCCUGAUGCAGCGACGCCGCGUGAGCGAUGAAGUAUUUCGGUAUGUAAAGCUCUAUCAGCAGGGAAGAAAAUGACGGUAC